GACCGAGAGAAUAUCUUGAGGGCUCGGUUAACCGGGAAGGCAGUGCUCACAAGCCCUUUUAAGCUUUUGGGUUCUCAUCAUCUCGGAGUCGUGUUAACCAUUCCCGUUUACAAAUCGAAGCUGCCCCCAAAUGCAUCGGUUAGAGAUCGCAUUGAAGCUACCGCAGGGAACUAGACAUGGAUUCACUUCCAAGGAACAAGCAUGAGUUAACUGUCGUCUUGGAGGAUGUUACAUCAAACAGGUAUAUGAAAUAAUGGAAACGCUAACCUGGGCCAGCAGUGGCGGACCUAGGAUUUUUUUCCAAUGGGGUCCAGUUUUUUACCAUACUUGGAUUUUUUACACCCAAACAAUAGAAUUUUC